rnacentral:rRNA from 1 species
AUUGAACGCUGGCGGCAGGCCUAACACAUGCAAGUCGAACGAGUGGCGGACGGGUGAGUAAUGUCUGGGAAACUGCCCGAUGGAGGGGGAUAACUACUGGAAACGGUAGCUAAUACCGCAUACCAUCGGAUGUGCCCAGAUGGGAUUAGCUUGUAGGUGAGGUAACGGCUCACCUAGGCGCCGAUCCCUAGCUGGUCUGAGAGGAUGGCCAGCGACACUGGAACUGAUACACGGUCCAGACUCAGACGGGAGACAGCAGUGGGGAAUAUGGGACAAGUGGCGCAAGCCUGAUGCAGCCAUGCCGCGUGUAUGAAGAAGGCCUUCGGGUUGUAAAGUACUUUCAGCGGGGAGGCGUUACCCGCAGAAGAAGCACCUGCUAACUCCGUGCCAGCAGCCGCUGUAAUAC